ACACACACACACACACACAUACAUACAUAUAUGAGUGUUUCGUAAAAGCAACAAUACAAAAUCUUAAACUAUAAAAGUGCCACUUUGUCCCACUAUUAUGUGCAGGCCUGGCAUUUUUCACUGGGCUAUAGAACUACAAAAUGAAUUUUAAAUUAGCAAUAUCAUAAUUGAAUGACAUUUUGAAUUAUGUAGUGAUCUAAUUCUAUCCACCAAACAAUUGUAUGUGAAUGUGUGAGACUUAUGGUCAUGGUUAUAGGGAAAUAACAAGAAGAACAAAGUGCAGUAAACGGUAAAACUGUUUGCACUACAAAGUACGUUCAUAAUUAAGACAAUACAUUAAAAAUAACAUGGUAAGAUACAGCAGUUUGCAACAGUAAACAGCAAAACAAGCUGUUUGUACAGCUAAUAUAGCUGGAAUGACACCGAAAGCCAGACACAUUAAAUUUACAAAUGGACGCGCACCCUCUUACAGAAAAAAAAUAAGGGGAAUAUGUUUAUUCAUAUGUUUAUUUAUGUAACGUAAGCGUGUGAAUUUUAAUUCGUGACGUGCUUUCAUGGGUGUGCGCGCGGACCGGAUGGAGUUGCCAUGGAAACGGAGCGCAACACUGCAAAUGUCACGAGGAAACACCCCGUUUCUCGCUGAUUUCACUGUUUUCAGGUGAGUUAAGUCCAUAAAAUCACACAAAUAUUACUUAUAACUGUUGUUGAAACUUCUCUUACUUGUAUUUGACUCGCUUCUGUUGUUUAUUUACUUCAUAGGAACGGUUUACUGUCUUCGAAAAGUCCGUUAGCAUUUCUACCGUUUUAAGACGACGUAUCGUCAGGUAUGAUAACUCUUUUGUGCUCUUAUUUAUGAAAGUUUGGGCUUUUAAUCAAAUCUUCAUCUGUAGAUGAUAGCUUUUGACUGUUUUGUUGGUAAUCUUUCAAUGGAUGAUUGGAAAUUGCUUAAUUUAUUUAACCUUAACAUUUACACUUUACUGUUUAUCGAUGACGUCACGUUAUCAAGGAGCGCGAAAAUUGGCAGAAAACUAAAGUUGUUUUGAUCUUUUAUGGUAAACAUAAAACUGUUCUGCGAUUUCAAGAGUGACAAAAUAAUCCUUCUACAACAGAAGGGAGUUUCCAAGAUUUCAAUAUUUCUGAAGGGAGCUGCUGACAGAGAUGUAGGAAGCGCUGAAAAGAUUCUUCAGUGCUGAUGGCCUGCUGCAUCCAGCAGAGUCGCAGUGAACCUACUGUAAGACAACAUCUCCAAGAUGCUAUUGACCACAAGACUAGAACAGGUUAUUAGAAACUGCACAGCACAGGACUUGCAGGACUUGUGAGGACUUCAGAUGAUACCAGUACUCAAAAGACCUUAGAUGAUGGCAACUAUAGAUGGACACACAAACUACCGCCACUGCAAAAAAAGGUAAUGUUAAUUUGAAAGAGCUGUGCCACAGUAUCAAGGGCUCCCUUAUCACUUCUGCUUUCAGUACUGGAGAGUAAAAGAUGAAUUUUU